GGGUCUUUAGCUCAGUUGGUUAGAGCAUCUCACUUUUAAUGAGAGGGCCGUUGGUUCGAGUCCAACAAGACCCA
rnacentral:tRNA from 1 species